rnacentral:ncRNA from 1 species
GCUCUCUGGAGAAUCCCGCGCAUGGGUGCCGAAGGUGAAAGCAGAUACCUCUGUGAAUCUCUCAGGCAAAAGGACAGGGAACG